ensembl:lncRNA
GCUGUGUGUGUGUGUGUGUGUGUGUGUGUGUGUGUGUGUGUGUGUGUAAAAUGGUGUUUCAGAGGUGCCAAUAUUUCUGACUAUGGCUGGGAGAUACGAUCAAAAUACUUCUCAAGACUUUACAAUUCGAUAUGGAGGACAAAACGACCAUUUUAGGGUAAAAAUCUGCUUCCAUGAAAAGCUGUGAUGUAUCAGUGUAUCGCACAGUGACGUGUGUGUGUGUCGGAUGUUACAGUGGAAGGUAGAACAAGCGAGUGAUAUCACAAUCUUAUCACGUUCAAGUCAUGCUGUAUUGUUGGACAUGAAAGAGUUGUGGAGCGGCCGGCCGUCACUUCACAUCUAAAACCUGUGUGUGUGUGUGUGUGUGUGUGUGUGAGAGAGAGAGAGAAAAUGUUUCAGACUGAGAGAUGGUGCAUCACCACCACCUUCUUGCUACAUCUGCAACUUCACUGCAAAAUGCUGUGGUUUCUUAUCUCACUUUCUGUGUCACUCUUACUUUCUCUCUUCUUCUGUCCGUCUCCCCGUGUGUCUCGUCUCUCUCUAUCGGUCUGUCUCUCUCUGUGUCUCCCUGUGUCUGUCGCUCUAUGUGUCUGUGUCUGUCUUCCUAUGUGUCUCUCUGUCUUCCUGUGUCUCUCUUUAUCUGUCUCCCUGUUUCCCUGUGUCUAUCGCUGUCUGUCUCUCUCUCUCCCUGUGUGUCUCUGUCUCCCUGUGUCUCUCUGUCUCCCUAUCGCUGUCUGUCUCUGUCUCCCUGUGUGUCUCUGUCUCCCUGUGUCUCUCUGUGUCUAUCGCUGUCUGUCUCUGUCUCCCUGUAUUUGUCUCUCUGUCUCCGUGUGUCUCUCCCUCUCUGUGUCUCUCUCUAUCUGUCUCCCUGUGUCUCUCGUUGUCUCUCUCUUUAUCUGUCUCCCUGUGUGUCUCUUUGCAUGUCUUUCAUUCUGUUUCUCUCUCAUCUCUCUGUAUUUUUCUCUUCAUGUAUCUCUCUGUUUUGCUGUUUCACUCUGGAUGUCUCUGUCUUUGAAUAUAUAUGUCUCUGUCUCUCUCAUUGUCUUUCUGUCUCUCUCUCUCUGUUUCUCACUCUGUCUUCCUCUCUGCCUAUGUCCAUCUCUCUCUCUCUCUCUCUCUC